GAGCGGAUGAAGGGAGCUUGCUCCUGGAUUCAGCGGCGGACGGGUGAGUAAUGCCUAGGAAUCUGCCUGGUAGUGGGGGACAACGUUUCGAAAGGAACGCUAAUACCGCAUACGUCCUACGGGAGAAAGCAGGGGACCUUCGGGCCUUGCGCUAUCAGAUGAGCCUAGGUCGGAUUAGCUAGUUGGUGAGGUAAUGGCUCACCAAGGCGACGAUCCGUAACUGGUCUGAGAGGAUGAUCAGUCACACUGGAACUGAGACACGGUCCAGACUCCUACGGGAGGCAGCAGUGGGGAAUAUUGGACAAUGGGCGAAAGCCUGAUCCAGCCAUGCCGCGUGUGUGAAGAAGGUCUUCGGAUUGUAAAGCACUUUAAGUUGGGAGGUCGGGUUGCUAGAUUAAUACUCUGCAAUUUUGACGUUACCGACAGAAUAAGCACCGGCUAACUCUGUG
rnacentral:rRNA from 1 species